GACGAACGCUGGCGGCGUGCUUAACACAUGCAAGUCGAACGGUGAAGCGCCUUCCUUUUUGGUGGGUGUGGAUGAGCGGCGAACGGGUGAGUAACACGUGAGUAACCUUCCCCCUCCUGCUGGAUAACCGCAAGAAAGUGCGGCUAAUACGGGAUAUACUGGGUCUGACGCAUGAUGGGUCUGGGACAGUUAUUGUUUCGGUGGUGGAUGGGUCCGCGGCCUAUUAGCUUGUUGGUGGGGUGAUGGCCUACCAAGGCGGUGACGGGUAGCCGGCCUGAGAGGGUGGACGGUCACACUGGGCCUGAGACACGGCCCAGACUCCUACGGGAGGCAGCAGUGGGGAAUAUUGCACACUGGGCGCAAGCCUGAUGCAGCGACGCCGCGUGAGGGAUGGAGGCCUUCGGGUUGUGAACCUCUUUCGCCAGUGAAGCAGGCCUGCCUCGUUUGUGGGUGGGUUGACGGUAGCUGGAUAAGAAGCGCCGGCUAACUACGUG
rnacentral:rRNA from 1 species